rnacentral:tRNA from 1 species
GGGUAUAUAGCUCAGUGGUAGAGCGUAUGCCUAGCAUACAUGAGGUCCUGGGUUCAAUCCCCAGUACCUCCA